rnacentral:rRNA from 1 species
UAAGUCCCGCAACGAGCGCAACCCUCAUCUUUAGUUGCCAGCGGUUAGGCCGGGCACUCUAGAGAAACUGCCUGCGAUGAGCAGGAGGAAGGCGGGGAUGACGUCAAGUCCUCAUGGCCCUUAUGGACUGGGCUACACACGUGCUACAAUGGCGGUGACAAUGGGCAGCGAAGGGGCGACCUGGAGCAAAUCCCAAAAAGCCGUCCCAGUUCGGAUUGUACUCUGCAACUCGAGUGCAUGAAGUUGGAAUCGCUAGUAAUCGCGGAUCAGCAUGCCGCGGUGAAUACGUUCCCGGGCCUU